GAAGCGGCAACAGCUCAAAUUUGAAAUCUGGCCUCUUCGGGGUCCGAGUUGUAAUUUGUAGAGGGUGUUUCGGGCGCGAUGCCGGUCUAAGUUCCUUGGAACAGGACGUCGCAGAGGGUGAGAAUCCCGUACGUGACCGGCAAUCAAGCCUGUGUGAAGCCCCUUCGACGAGUCGAGUUGUUUGGGAAUGCAGCUCAAAAUGGGUGGUAAAUUUCAUCUAAAGCUAAAUAUUGGCCAGAGACCGAUAGCGGACAAGUAGAGUGAUCGAAAGAUGAAAAGCACUUUGGAAAGAGAGUCAAACAGUACGUGAAAUUGUUGAAAGGGAAGCGCUUGCAAUCAGACCGGUCCGGAGGUGAUCAGCCGCUGCUCGCUCAGCGGUGCACUCGCCUGCGAUCCGGCCAGCAUCGGUUUGGGCGGCGGGAUAAAAGUCCCGGAAAUGUAGCUUCUCUUGGGGAGUCUUAUAGCCCGGGUCGCAAUGCCGCCCGCCCGGACCGAGGACCGCGCUUCGGCUAGGAUGCUGGCGUAAUGGUUGCAAGCGACCCGUCUUGAA
rnacentral:rRNA from 1 species